UGCACCUUAAUAAAGACCUGGCCCCACAGCUCUUCUCUCUGUCUCUUGCUCCCCACCCGUUGGUUGAGCUCCCUGCCACCUCUAGCCUUCCCGUCAGCCUCCUGUUGACACCCCUAACCUCUAUGUGAUCUGAUCAUGGCAUCUAUGUUGCUGCAAAGGACAUGCUUUCAUCCUAUUUAUGGCAGCACAGUAUUCCACGGUGACAUGUAACACAUCUUCAAACGGAGUCUCGCUCUGUUGCCCAAGCUGGAGUGCAG